GAUGAACGCUGGCGGCGUGCCUAAUACAUGCAAGUCGAGCGAAUGGAUUAAGAGCUUGCUCUUAUGAAGUUAGCGGCGGACGGGUGAGUAACACGUGGGUAACCUGCCCAUAAGACUGGGAUAACUCCGGGAAACCGGGGCUAAUACCGGAUAACAUUUUGAACCGCAUGGUUCGAAAUUGAAAGGCGGCUUCGGCUGUCACUUAUGGAUGGACCCGCGUCGCAUUAGCUAGUUGGUGAGGUAACGGCUCACCAAGGCAACGAUGCGUAGCCGACCGGAGAGGGUGAGCGGCCACACUGGGACUGAGACACGGCCCAGACUCCUACGGGAGGCAGCAGUAGGGAAUCUUCCGAAAUGGACGAAAGUCUGACGGAGCAACGCCGCGUGAGUGAUGAAGGCUUUCGGGUCGUAAAACUCUGUUGUUAGGGAAGAACAAGUGCUAGUUGAAUAAGCUGGCACCUUGACGGUACCUAACCAGAAAGCCACGGCUAACUACGUGCCAGCAGCCGCCGUAA
rnacentral:rRNA from 1 species